ensembl:lncRNA
AUGGCUGGUGUACUGGCUUCCCCUAAGCUUGGGAUGAGCAACAGGAACUUUCAAUUAAAAAAACCCUCACCUACUUCCUUUGUAGCCCAGAGUAAUUACUGUAUCAUUAAAAAGGAAGAGAAGAAGAAAAGAAGAAACCCGAAUCAGCAAUUCCACAAAACCCAUCUGUACCAAGUGCUGCAGCAUCGCCCUGCCCAGAGUCCCGGCAAAGAGGCGCUGGUCCCUCAUCCUCUUCAGAGGAAACAGACAGGAUCAAAUCAGGAAGCCCCUUUACACACAAGGAGGUCCGACCGCACUGCAGGUAUAAUAAAUGCAGACACUACAGACCAGCUGGGGUUUUGCCUCCCACCGGGUGAAAGGAGCAGAGACAGCUCCUCUGACAUUUCACCCCAUGUGCCGGCCGCACAGUCCUGCAGAACAUACGGCUGGCCUCUCACCCCCAGACCUGGCCCUUCCAAUGCGACCCUGUCCAGACCCCGCUCCCCUGCAUGCAGGUCUCCAGUUCCCUCCCAUCUGUGCAGGAGCGGCUCUCGGAGCUCACCUUGGGGGGCUGAGCAAAACACUCUGGGCCCUAGAGACGUCAAGGCAGGCGUGCGCGUGCCUGCACACACUCCCGGGGACUGCCUGCCUGGGAAACUCAUCAGUCAGCCCGGCCCAGAGCGUUUCGCUUUGGUGGAGACACAGGGGAAAACAAAACAAAGUACCAGUGACAACCGCGAACUUCCCCCUUUCAAACCUGGGGGCCCUGGCACACAGUCUGUCCUCUGCACAGAGGCACCCCAGGCUGGGCUGGGCUGUGCAGGGCAGAGUAGCCCGGAGUGCUUCCAUCCCCAGCUGCCUCCCACCCCCCCCAGUCCCCUCCCUAAUCCGAGCUCCUUCCCGCGGCGGGACGCCUGGGUUUUCCCUCCAGAUGGGAGCCUGUGUACCUUCCUGCUCAGCUCCCACACCCACGAACUACCAGGGCCUCCGGGAACCAGGAAACACCAAGAAGGCUCCAGCAUGUCCUGGGGUGGGGAGGCAGAGCCCCACCACAUGGCCGUGUGGACGGCCCCGGAGCCCUGGGCCACACGGUGGAGCGUAACGGGGAGAAGAUGCUGGACUCCACCUACACAGACAACACUCCGGCCCGCUUCCUACAAACAAUGCCAUCCGGAGGCCACAGGAAUAAGAACCAGAUGUCCCAAAGCCAUUCUGGCUCCAGACGCAACAGUCCCCGAAUGUCCUCUCAGCCCCCACGCCCCCCAACGGGAAAGUCUUCCCCUAAGAAAGUUGGGAGAGAGAAGCCAGGCGGGGAUGGGGAUCGGUGAGGCCACCGCAGGCCCUGUUCAGACAUCUCACCCUCCCUCCCUGAUCCGUGCGUUUCCGGAAAACAAAGCCGGUGGCCACAGCGGAAGGGGGAGGGGGCAGCGAGCCCAGCCGGGAGUUCCCAGGCAGUGCCGCAACAGGUCCCUGCAGAUCAGACCACCUUCCUAUCCCCCACCAUUCCCCUGCUGUCUCCCCCCUCAAGAGCUUUACGACCACAAAGUGAGGACUGGGACACAGCUGCGUGGGGAGGGGCCAGGCCAAGACAGGAGUAGGCGAUGGGGCCAGGUGGGCAGGGGCCUGCGGAACAGAACACGGGGAGGCAUAAGAGACACGGGAGAGUGGGCGGUGGGCGGUGGGCUUGAGCACUGGGUGGGGAAAGAAAGCGGGAGGUGGGGUAGGGACUAA